GAUGAGAACGCAGCGAAAUGCGAUAAGUAAUGUGAAUUGCAGAAUUCAGUGAAUCAUCGAAUCUUUGAACGCACAUUGCGCCCGCUAGUAUUCUGGCGGGCAUGCCUGUCCGAGCGUCAUUUCAACCCUCAAGCCCCCGGGCUUGGUGUUGGGGAUCGGCGAGCCUCCGCGCCCGCCGUCCCCUAAAUCUAGUGGCGGUCUCGCUGUAGCUUCCUCUGCGUAGUAGCACACCUCGCACUGGGAAACAGCGCGGCCACGCCGUUAAACCCCCAACUUCUGAACGUUUGACCUCGGAUCAGGUAGGAAUACCCGCUGAACUUAAGCAUAUCAAUAAGCGGAGGA
rnacentral:misc_RNA from 1 species